rnacentral:rRNA from 1 species
UACAGAGGUCCCGAGCGUUGUUCGGAUUCAUUGGGCGUAAAGGGUGCGUAGGCGGCAUGGCAAGUCGGGUGUGAAAUCCCGGGGCUCAACCCCGGAACUGCACUCGAUACUGCCGUGCUUGAGUGUUGGAGAGGAGACUGGAAUUUACGGUGUAGCAGUGAAAUGCGUAGAGAUCAUGAGGAAGACCAGUGGCGAAGGCGGGUCUCUGGACAGUUCCUGACACUGAGACACGAAGGCCAGGGGAGCAAACGGG